GCCAGUAUAGUGUAGUGGUUUGAAUAUUGGACUACGACUCUGGAAAUCAGGGUUUGAUUCCCUGCUUGGCCA